GAGUCUUUGCCAAAAAGAUGCUAGAGUUAUGCUCUUUGGCAUCGCCCAAGGAUGAGGCCGCGACCGAUCAGGUUGUUGGUGAGGUAAUGGCUCACCAAGCCUUUUACCGGUGCGGGCCGUGAGAGCGGGAGCCCGGAGAUGGGCACUGAGACAAGGGCCCAGGCCCUACGGGGCGCAGCAGUCGCGAAAACUUUGCAAUACACGAAAGUGUGACAGGGCUAUCCCGAGUGCCAUCCGCUGAGGAAGGCUUUUACCCAGCCUAGAACGCUGGGGGAAUAAGGAGAGGGCAAGUCUGGUGUCAGCCGCCGCGGUAAUACCAGCUCUCCGAGUGGUGUGGAUGUUUAUUGGGCCUAAAGCAUCCGUAGCUGGCUAAGUUAGUCCCUUGUUAAAUCCACCGAAUUAAUCGUUGGAUUGCGGGGGAUACUGCUUGGCUAGGGGACGAGAGAGGCAGACGGUAUUUCCGGGGUAGGGGUGAAAUCCUAUAAUCCCGGGAAGACCACCAGUGGCGAAGGCUGUCUGCUAGAACGCGCCCGACGGUGAGGGAUGAAAGCUGGGGGAGCGAACCGGAUUAGAUACCCGGGUAGUCCCGGCUGUAAACGAUGCAGGCUAGGUGUUUGGACGGCCACGUGCCGUUCUAGUGCCGCAGGGAAGCUGUUAAGCCUGCCGCCUGGGGAGUACGAUCGCAAGAUUGAAACUUAAAGGAAUUGGCGGGGGAGCACCACAAGGGGUGAAGCUUGCGGUUUAAUUGGAGUCAACGCCGGG
rnacentral:rRNA from 1 species